AGGACGAACGCUGGCGGCGUGCUUAACACAUGCAAGUCGAGCGGAAAGGCCCUUCGGGGUACUCGAGCGGCGAACGGGUGAGUAACACGUGAGUAAUCUGCCCCUAGCUCUGGGAUAGCUCCGGGAAACCGGGAUUAAUACCGGAUACGACCACUUUAGACAUCUGUUGUGGUGGAAAGAAUUUUGGCUAGGGAUGAGCUCGCGGCCUAUCAGCUUGUUGGUGGGGUAAUGGCCUACCAAGGCGACGACGGGUAGCCGGCCUGAGAGGGCGACCGGCCACACUGGGGACUGAGACACGGCCCAGACUCCUACGGGAGGCAGCAGUGGGGAAUAUUGCGCAAUGGGCGAAAGCCUGACGCAGCGACGCCGCGUGGGGGAUGAAGGCCUUCGGGUUGUAAACCCUUUCAGCAGGGACGAAGCGAAAGUGACGGUACCUGCAGAAGAAGCGCCGGCUAACUACGCGCCAGCAGCCGC
rnacentral:rRNA from 1 species